UACGUAGGGACCAAGCGUUGUUCGGAUUUACUGGGCGUAAAGGGCGCGUAGGCGGCGUGUUAAGUCACUUGUGAAAUCUCUAAGCUUAACUUAGAACGGCCAAGUGAAACUGUCAAGCUAGAGUGCAGAAGGGGCAAUCGGAAUUCUUGGUGUAGCGGUGAAAUGCGUAGAUAUCAAGAGGAACACCUGAGGUGAAGACGGGUUGCUGGGCUGACACUGACGCUGAGGCGCGAAAGCCAGGGGAGCAAACGGG
rnacentral:rRNA from 1 species